rnacentral:lncRNA from 1 species
GCCAUUGUUAUUUCAGUUGUGAUCUGUGAGUCAAUUUACUGUCUGUCAAUCGUGCACGUCUGAUCAUACUUAGUGUUGUCUGUUCGUGAAACUUGUGAUUGUGAUUGCAUGCUUGGUGGCAAUUGUUUGCGUGUGCAAGCCUAAUUCCACACACGCCGACAUUGUCCAUAAUCUAUUCCUUGUAUGGUGAGAAUAUACCCUGUCCAAGGCAGCAAACUUACUGAUUUAGUCAGAGCUUCAGAACAGUGAUACCACUGCAGUCCUAUACCAAAGAAGAGCAUAGUAUUAAAAUUUUGGACGACAAGGGCAAGAAGGGUGCUCAACAAUUGAACAAUUCCUGCAGAAAAUGAAAAUAGAAGAGUUGAAGACUAUUAUAGGACUCAAGGGAGUGCGACUAGUUAGGAAGGGAGAAAAACUAGAAUGUGUCACAUAUUCUGACACAAUUAUAGAUAUCGAUCCAGCAUCCAAGCACACUGAAAAACUAAAAAAAUGGAUGGCUGACGAAAGUUCAGAAGAAGAAACUGCUGAAGCCACUAAGUAAAUAAUGUUUUCUAUUAAAAUUGACUCGGCAACUUUCUCAAAAUCAAAAUGACUAAUAAAUGUGAAUGAAGUGAA